GACGAACGCUGGCGGCGUGCCUAAUACAUGCAAGUCGAGCGCAGGAAACUGACGGAACUCUUCGGAGGGAAGGCAGUGGAAUGAGCGGCGGACGGGUGAGUAACACGUAAGGAACCUGCCUCAAGGAUUGGGAUAACUCCGAGAAAUCGGAGCUAAUACCGGAUAGUUCAACGGACCGCAUGGUCCGCUGAUGAAAGGCGCUUCGGCGUCACCUUGAGAUGGCCUUGCGGUGCAUUAGCUAGUUGGUGGGGUAACGGCCCACCAAGGCGACGAUGCAUAGCCGACCUGAGAGGGUGAUCGGCCACACUGGGACUGAGACACGGCCCAGACUCCCACGGGAGGCAGCAGUAGGGAAUCUUCCACAAUGGACGAAAGUCUGAUGGAGCAACGCCGCGUGAGUGAUGAAGGUUUUCGGAUCGUAAAACUCUGUUGUAAGGGAAGAACACGUACGAGAGGAAAUGCUCGUACCUUGACGGUACCUUACGAGAAAGCCACGGCUAACUACGUGCCAGCAGCCGCGGUAAUAC
rnacentral:rRNA from 1 species